rnacentral:rRNA from 1 species
UACGAGGGGGGCGAGCGUUGUUCGGAAUUAUUGGGCGUAAAGGGUGCGUAGGCGGCCUGACAAGUCUGAUGUGAAAUCCCUGGGCUCAACCCAGGGCCUGCAUCGGAAACUGCCGGGCUUGAGUAUGGGAGAGGUGAGUGGAAUUUCCGGUGUAGCGGUGAAAUGCGUAGAUAUCAGGAGGAACACCUGUGGUGUAGACAGCUUACUGGACCAUUUCUGACGCUGAGACACGAAAGCGUGGGUAGCAAACAGG